GUGCUCGCUUCGGCAGCACAUAUACCAAAAAUUGGAACGAUACAGAGAAGAUUAGCAUGGCCCCUGUGCAAGGAUGACAACAAAAUUCAUGAAGCGUUCCAUAUUUUU